rnacentral:rRNA from 1 species
UACGAAGGGGGCUAGCGUUGUUCGGAAUUACUGGGCGUAAAGGGCGCGUAGGCGGCCUGACAAGUUGGGUGUGAAAGGCCUGGGCUUAACCCGGGAAAUGCGCUCGAUACUGUUGGGCUAGAGUGUGGGAGAGGAUAGCGGAAUUCCCAGUGUAGAGGUGAAAUUCGUAGAUAUUGGGAAGAACACCAGUGGCGAAGGCGGCUAUCUGGACCACAACUGACGCUUAGGCGCGAAAGCGUGGGGAGCAAACAGG